rnacentral:misc_RNA from 1 species
AAAGUCGUAACAAGGUCUCCGUUGGUGAACCAGCGGAGGGAUCAUUGCUGGAACGCGCCCCGGCGCCCCCAGAAACCCUGUGUGAACCCAUACCCAUACCGUUGCCUCGGCGCGGGCUGCCCUCUCGUGGAGGUUACCACCGAAACGUGGUCCUGACCCUCCUCCGGAGGUCGCCACCGAAACGUGGUGCAGCCGGCCGGCGGCCAGCCAAACCCUGUUUAUAUACUGUAUCUCUGAGCACAAAACAUAAAUGAAUCAAAACUUUCAACAACGGAUCUCUUGGUUCUG